CAUGCUCCACACAAAUUAUUAGUAAUUUGAGUCAGAGGCCAUCCAACUGAAGCAGUGAUGUAACACCAGUAGUUUUGAUUGCUUUAAAAGCAAUAGAAAGCUACGCAAGAGUGU
rnacentral:sRNA from 1 species